CUAACGGCUGAACCAGCAACUUGGAGGAAUGUAUAGUAAUAGCUAAUUGCAUCAAUGUUUAAAUAAUUGAUGCAAUAUCGACUCUGUCGAAUAAAAUUCUAGGUAGAAUUAUGAUAAUGACAUUGUCUGCCUAUGUGUCUUGACCAAAUUACGUGCCAGCAGUCGCGGUAAUACGUAGAAGACUAGUGUUAUUCAUCUUUAAUAGGUUUAAAGGGUACCUAGACGGUAGAUCAAGCCUGCAAUAUGGGACUAAUGUACUAGAGUUACUUACGAGGGGGUUUUAAAGUACUGCUGGUGGAGAGAUGAAAUUCAGUCAUACCUUAUUUUGAAUAAAAUACUAUGGCACAGGUAUAGGCGAAAGCAUCCCCUUAUGUGAUAACUGACGUUGAAGGACGAAGGCUUUUGGUAGCGAACAGGAUUAGAUACCCCAAUAGUCAAAGCAGAAAAUGAUGAAUGUCAUAGAUUAGACAUAUAAUAGUUUAUUCUAUAAAUGAAAGUGUAAGCAUUCCACCUCAAGAGUAAUUUGGCAACAUUGGAACUGAAAUCAUUAGACCGUUUCUGAAACCAGUAGUGAAGUAUGUUGUUUAAUUUGAUAAUCCGCAAAAAACCUUACCACAAUUUGAAUAUUUAGAUUAUUAUUUUCUUUUAUUUUUUGUUGUAGAGCAAAAUUAACAAGAAGAAAAGAGAAAUCUAUUUACAAGCGUUGCACGGCUGUCUACAGUUAAUGUCGUGAGAUUCUGGUUAGUUCCAUUAAUUAACGUAAACCCUUACUUUAUUUUUAUAUAGAGUUGUUCCCCACUAGAUUGGAUAAGAUAACAGGGACUAAGACAAGUCAUCAUGGCCUGAAUAUUGUGGGCUAUAGACGUGCCACAUAAACCUUACAAAAGGAUGUGAAAUUGUGAAAUUGAGCUAAUCCCCAAAAUGGAGAUACACUAACAUGGA
rnacentral:rRNA from 1 species